UUGGGUCUUGCACACAACAGCGUGAGGAGCGACUGUAAUUCCUCAGCUCUGGACAUGUGGAACAGCAAAGAGCAGAAACCAGCAGCUCUGGGUUCAGGGUGCAGCAGAGCCUGCAGUGCAGCGUGAAGUGAUGCAGAAGUGUGGAUGGCACCGGGAGCUGCUGCGCCUGCUCCUGCUGCUAUUCCUGGCACGCAGGGACUGAGCAGCGUCUGAUGGGCCAAAUGGAAGAACUGAAGAUAGUCCACAGUGAAUUCCUGGAGGAGAUGGGAAAAGAUCUGUGGACUGCAGGCCCCCAGUCUGUGAUUUACAGUCUCUCCUUUACAGCUCAGAUUCCCAAAAUGUCCCCAACCUUUCUGCG